rnacentral:rRNA from 1 species
UACAGAGGUCUCAAGCGUUUGUUCGGAUUCAUUGGGCGUAAAGGGUGCGUAGGUGGCAUGGUAAGUCGGAUGUGAAAUCCCGGGGCUCAACCCCGGAACUGCAUUCGAUACUGCUGCGCUAGAGUACUGGAGAGGAGUAUUGGAAUUUACGGUGUAGCAGUGAAAUGCGUAGAUAUCGUAAGGAGACCGUGGCGAAGGCGGAUCUCUGGACAAUUACUGACACUGAGGCAGCGAAGGCCAGGGGAGCAAACGGG